rnacentral:rRNA from 1 species
GGAGGAAAAGAAACCAACAGGGAUUGCCUUAGUAGCGGCGAGUGAAGCGGCAAAAGCUCAAAUUUGAAAUCUGGCACUUUCAGUGUCCGAGUUGUAAUUUGAAGAAGGUAUCUUUGGGUCUGGCUCUUGUCUAUGUUUCUUGGAACAGAACGUCACAGAGGGUGAGAAUCCCGUGCGAUGAGAUGUCCCAGACCUAUGUAAAGUUCCUUCGAAGAGUCGAGUUGUUUGGGAAUGCAGCUCUAAGUGGGUGGUAAAUUCCAUCUAAAGCUAAAUAUUGGCGAGAGACCGAUAGCGAACAAGUACAGUGAUGGAAAGAUGAAAAGAACUUUGAAAAGAGAGUGAAAAAGUACGUGAAAUUGUUGAAAGGGAAGGGCUUGAGAUCAGACUUGGUAUUUUGUAUGUUACUCUCUCGGGGGUGGCCUCUACAGUUUACCGGGCCAGCAUCAGUUUGGGCGGUAGGACAAUUGCAAAGAAAUGUGGCACUGCCUCGGUAGUGUGUUAUAGUCUUUGUCGAUACUGCCAGCCUAGACUGAGGACUGCGGCUUCGGCCUAGGAUGUUGGCAUAAUGAUCUUAAGUCGC